AAGUUUUAAAAAGUUUUAAUCUGACGUGGCAUCGAGGGAACUAGCAUGACCUGAGCCAUGUUAACAAAAGUUAACUCGUAAAUACUUUUCAAUCUGCUAUUUUCAUUUUGAUUUACCACAACAGUUCUCUCCUCGAAGUAAUACAAAAGCAAAGGCUUAAUCCUUCACAGUUAAAGCAAGAACGGUGCCAUCUCAGCAUAUUAAGCUCUUAUCAAUCCCAGGCAUUGAAAAAACCUGUAACUAGCAUCUAAUCUCUCAACAAAGGCUGAAGAAUCUAUCCAAGAAUCAUAUCCACAUUCCCCACAAUUCUCAAGUCCCACUUGAUGGAUUUAGAAUCCACAGCACAGGUUCCAAUUCCAUUCCCACACACAACCCACCAAACGCGAGACAAUGGAAAGUACCUGAACACAG